rnacentral:rRNA from 1 species
AUUGAACGCUGGCGGCAGGCCUAACACAUGCAAGUCGAACGAGUGGCGGACGGGUGAGUAAUGUCUGGGAAACUGCCCGAUGGAGGGGGAUAACUACUGGAAACGGUAGCUAAUACCGCAUACCAUCGGUUGUGCCCAGAUGGGCAUAGCUAGUUGGUGGGGUAAUGGCUCACCUAGGCGACGAACCAUAGCUGGUCUGAGGGGAAGACCAGCCACAAGGGAAGUGAGACAGGUUCCAGACUCCUACGGAGGGCAGCAGGGUAGGAGAUUGCAGAAUGGGCGCAAGCUGGAUGGAGCCAUGCCGGGGGUAUGGAGAAGGCCUUGGGGUUGUAGAGUACUUUCAGCGGGGAGGGGUUACUGGCAGAAGAAGCACCGGCUAACUCCGUGCCAGCAGCGGCGGAAAUC